rnacentral:rRNA from 1 species
UACGAAGGGGGCUAGCGUUGCUCGGAAUCACUGGGCGUAAAGGGUGCGUAGGCGGGUUUUUAAGUCAGGGGUGAAAUCCUGGAGCUCAACUCCAGAACUGCCUUUGAUACUGGCGAUCUUGAGUCCGGGAGAGGUGAGUGGAACUGCGAGUGUAGAGGUGAAAUUCGUAGAUAUUCGCAAGAACACCAGUGGCGAAGGCGGCUCACUGGCCCGGUACUGACGCUGAGGUGCGAAAGCUAGGGGAGCAAACGGG